rnacentral:rRNA from 1 species
GAGGGAAAAGCCCAGCACCGAACCUCGCGCCCUCGGGUGUCGCGGAAUGUGGUGUUUAGGAGGACCGUGCGCGCCUGUCCGGUAUCGUCCAAGUUCCCAUGAAUGGGGCCAGCAACCCAGAGAGGGUGUCAGGCCCGUAGGACGAGCCGCGACCGUAGCAUUGGGUCUCUCCUUAGAGUCGGGUUGCUUGAGAGUGCAGCCCUAAGCGGGAGGUAAACUCCUUCUAAGGCUAAAUAUGGCCACGAGACCGAUAGCGAACAAGUACCGCGAGGGAAAGUUGAAAAGAACUUUGAAGAGAGAGUUCAAUAGUGCGUGAAACCGUUCAGGGGGUUAAACGGGUGGGCCCUCGAAGGUCGAAAGGUCCCCACUCCCGUCAUCUGUAGGCCGGCUCGUGCUGCUUUCCGAUGCCGCUAUGGCACGGAGCUUGGUGCGGUUGGCCGGUCUACGGGGGCCGCAAGUUGGGGACCCAGUAGGACUCCGCAACCGUCUGGGAGGCCGUCAGAAGGGUUCCGGUAGAAAGCCUCCUCGUGGGGUGGACUCUGGGAUUUUCCGGGCGGUCCUCUCGGCCGUCAAACCUGAAUUCUCCCGCCGGUUCUGGGGACGAGCUUUAAACGGCUGUCGGUUCUCGGUUCCGUUGUCGGGGGAUGCCGCGGAGAGUAGAGUCGGGUCCCACCCGACCCGUCUUGAAACACGGACCAAGGAGUCUAACAUGUGCGCGAGUCGUCGGGUUUUUUACUAAACCCGAAGGCGCAAUGAAAGUGAAGACCGUCCUCGUUGGCGUGUCUAGGGGAGAUCCCGUCCUGCUUCGGUAGCUCGGGCGCAUCCCCGGGGCGUCGAAGCCGCGUUGCCGGCUAGACGAACCAAGAGCGUACACGUUGGGACCCGAAAGAUGGUGACCUAUGCCUGACCAGGACGAAGCCAGGGGAAACCCUGGUGGAGGUCCGCAGCGAUUCUGACGUGCAAAUCGAUCGUCGGAGUUGGGUAUAGGGGCGAAAGACUAAUCGAACCAUCUAGUAGCUGGUUCCCCCCGAAGUUUCCCUCAGGAUAGCUGGUGCUCGCAGAAAG